rnacentral:tRNA from 1 species
GGAGGUAGAGCUCAAAUGGCAGAGCAAAUGCUUAGCAUGCACAAGGUCCUGGGUUCAAUUCCCAGUACCUUCU